rnacentral:rRNA from 1 species
GACGAACCGUGCGAACGUUGUUCGGAAUCACUGGGCUUAAAGGGCGCGUAGGUGGCAUAGCAAGUCCGGGGUGAAAGCCCCCAGCUCAACUGGGGAAGUGCCUUGGAAACUGCAGUGCUGGAGGGAGGUAGGGGUCGAGGGAACUUCUGGUGGAGCGGUGAAAUGCGUUGAUAUCAGAAGGAACGCCGGUGGCGAAAGCGCUCGACUGGACCUUUUCUGACGCUGAGGCGCGAAAGCUAGGGGAGCAAACGGG